GAUGAACGCUGUCUACAGGCUUAACACAUGCAAGUCGAGGGGAAACGACGGGGAAGCUUGCUUCCCCGGGCGUCGACCGGCGUACGGGUGAGUAACGCGUAUCCAACCUGCCUCUGACUGAGGGAUAACCCGUCGAAAGUCGGCCUAAUACCUCAUGGCAUCGUCUGCGGGCAUCCAACGACGAUUAAAGAUUUCAUCGGUCAGGGAUGGGGAUGCGUCUGGUUAGCUUGUUGGCGGGGGAACGGCCCACCCAGGCUACGAUCAGUGGCGUUUCUGAGGGGCAGGUCCCCCACAAUGGAGCUGAGACACGGUCCAAACUCCUACGCGAGACAGGAGUGAGGAAUAUUGGUCAAUGGGCGUUAGCCUGAAACAGCCAAGUAGCGUGCAGGAUGACGGGCAUGUGGGUUGUAAACUGCUUGUAUGCAGGGAUAAAGGGCGGAACGUGUCCUUCAUUGAAGGUACCGCAUGAAUAAGGACCGGCUAAUUCCGUG
rnacentral:rRNA from 1 species